UGGACCUGUGACUUGUAGAUCUGAGCCAUUUUUGCUUUCCCUCUCAUGAACCAAGAACUAGCUUGUUUCGACGACCAAGCUAUGAGCAAUGGCAGCUUGUUUUAACGACCAAGAACCAACAACGUUGCACUUUGAACUCCCUUUUGAGCAGCUUUCAUAGCUUUCCCACUCACGAAGACACAAACCAAGAAACAUUUUGGGGCUUGAAAAAAUUUUGGGAUCUUUGUGUUUUCUUGUUCUGCUCUUGCCGGUGCUUUGUUUGUUUGGGUUCACUUCUCUUGAUUUUCUUGGUUCAUUAUGAAGCGUUUUGAUUUUUUUGAGCUAUCGGCUUUUCCACAAAGUCAUCUCUCUAAACCUUUAUUGUCGAGUAAUUCUAUAGUUCCUUCCAACUAUUCAGAACCCCUCAAGUUUUGUCCUCGUCGUUUUGUAUAUAUCUCUCUAAAUUUUCCAUGAGAUCCAACUUCCUCAUCAUUGUUGUUCCUUGUUAUGUUCGCCAGAUUAGUUGAACAUUAUUGGACCUUGUUCGCGUAGUUUCAUUUGAAAUUUGUUUUCAUCACGGUAGACAUUCUAUUAGUUUUUAUAUUUUAUUUUUCCAUUUCAGUUCUCAUUUAAUUAUAUUGGGCAUCUGUUUCUUGGUGAUAAAGAUUCACUCUUCUGUUGAGUGUUGAUCUCUCCCUAGUUUUAAAUUACUGAGUUUUGAAGUCUUUGUCCUUAAAGUUGAUUUUUUUAAUUCCUCACAGUGAAGUGUUGGAAAAUAGUUAUGAAAUGCCAAGCAGCAAGCCAAACAAGAUUUCGGGCAACGAAAUAUGAAAAUGGGAUUUCAGCUCUGCGAACUCAAAUCAACACCCUACGACACAUUUUCCCUCCCCAUCUUUAAAUGUGCAUCUCUAGUGAGAAGAGAGUUGCGAACUCAAAUCGGAGAGCUUCAGUUCGAUUUCGGAGAGCACAGUGAGGACAGGGUCACGCUCACGAUCUGAGUUGCACCAUUUCAAACGGAAGAGAAGUUGCAAACUAAGGAGAAGAGGAAGAGGAGCUGCAAUAUGCAAAACUGCAAGACGAAAGAAUAGCCAAAAGCUUUCCCUUCUGAAAAUCUCAAUACGCAUCGUUUUAUUUAACUGCUAUCCAGAUGAACUUCGUGUGCACAGGGGUGUACAAAAUUGUCUACAUUUAGACUUGAAACACCAAUACAAUUACGACAAAUUCUAUGCAAAGAGAUCGGAAGAAGCUAAAUUCAGGCAAUUUUGUGCACCCUUUGGGCACGAAAUUCGUACGGCUUCCACAUGUCCACUCAGGGCCAUCCAGUGAAUAAUGACGGAAGGUUCGACUCUGAAGUGCUUGGACCGCUUUCCCCAACCCUCCUCUCUCUCUCUCUCUCUCUCUCUCUCACGGAAGAAGAAGAAUGACAAAUGUUAAUGAUGCCGGUCUUCGACGACGGAUGCAUGGCCACCAUUUUAGAGGAAGCUUUAUGCCAUGGUGGACGACCCAGAGACCGACUCAGUGGUUUCUAGGAGCUACGGCAGCAACAACUUUGUGGUCUGGAACCCGCAUGAGUUCGCCGCCAAGCUUCUGCCCAAGCACAAGAACUUGGCUUGCUUCAUUUGGCAGUUGAACACUUGUAUCGAUUAUCUAAAAUUUUAGAAUCUUUUCCAAUUAGAAACUACUGUGGCACCAACUUUAAUGGAUUAGUUUGUCAAAUUACCAAAGGAAAAGGUGGGUGGCGAAGUGUUGUGUUGCAAUCUCUAAAAAGCCUGUCGUAGUUCAUAUUUACAGCUUCAACGAGACGUGAAAAUCAAACAACCAAAGCUCAAACCAAGCCCAAAUCUGACGUGAGUGUCGGUGGCGAGAGAGACGUGCGAAGACGAGAGAGCAAAGUGAAAAUUGGUUCACGGGCGGUGGGGAAAAAUGGAGCCUUUUCAUGGGCGUCCUCGUCUUCUUCGCUUCUUUUUUUUUUUUUUUCUAAAUUGGUUCAGCUACGUCAGUAAAGGUGCACAAAUUUGUGUGCGAAAUAGAGUGUAUAGCUGAGGUUUGCUACAUAGAAGUCAUUGUAGCAGUGCACUCGUUGCACACACUACGUGACUUCCUUUUCUUUCGCUUUUUUUUUUUUUAACAAAAAAACCAAAAUGUGUGUUUUGAUUCAUUUUGAAAGUCGGUUUCUAAUUUAUCCCCGUUCGAAUUCAUCCAUGGAAGACCUUCUCCCUCGACAGCAACCCGCAUCACGUUCCUUUACCCAGCACCUCCCGACGACGCCGUUUCUCUCGUCAGCUCCACCGAGCGGCGCUCCUCCGUCUGCCCAAUGCAGCCGCCACUUCCCUCGAGGUCGUUGAAUAGAGCAAACCCGAAAUCAUAUUUGAAUCCCGCGAAACCCACCUCCUUCCUCGCCACAAACCCGCAUCGGCUUCCUCUUCCCAGCGCCACCUCGCGACGCUCCUACGUCUCCCCAACGCCGCCACUCCCCUCAAACUUGUGAUUGAACGAACCAAACCAACAACAAGUUCAGCUCUUUUUCUUGAAACGGUUUGCUCAGCUUUGUAGUCUCGGAAGACAUUCUUAGCCUUAGUGUGAUGGGGGAAGAGGAAGAUGGAAUGCCACAUAGGCCUUCGACGUCAACUUCGCAGUCAUUAAUGACGUCUCAAAAUAGAGCUGGAAAUCCAAACGUCUACCAUCAUACUCUUGAAGAUGAUUUGGUUUGCUCUAUUUUGGUGAAACUCUUGGGUUGCAUCUUUAGCAUAUGAUUGCACUAGGAAGUAUUGUUUUGAUCUUGUUCUCUGCACCAUGAAGUUGAUGAAACUGUCGGUAAUCUUCUUCAUAAACUCGUAGAACAACUUCAGGUAUAUAUGAUCUGCGUGUUUGUUUCUCUCUAAGCAUCAUGUAAGUAUUGAAGAGUGGCUUCUAUAAAGAUUUUUUCUGUUAAUUAAUGUGCACUUUGUCAAUCUUGAGUUUGAGGUAUUUUAAGCUAAUAUUCAGUUUUCAUCAUAUCCAUUUUCAAGGCAGAGAUUGUUAAAUCUGAUGUGACUAUUGCAAACUUGGUAUGAGAGGAACUAUUGCAAUCAAUAAGUGUGUUCCAGCUUGAUCUCGUCCCUACAGGUUGCAUGAAGGUGAAAAAGAGCUCUAGCAAGGCAAAUUAUGCAACCAAAAAUGCCCCUUUAUUCUGUGAGAAGCUUCCGAAAGCCCAAAUCCUUUACCUCCCUGUAGUAAACCUAAGAUUACAAUUGAAGAAACCUUGAGAUCCAAGACACAAUGUUUGCUUGCUACUAUUGACUACAUGAAGUUUGAAUGCUCCCCAAAUCUGGAGAUAUCAAUCUAUUUAAUCACUGACACAUUGUAAUGGUGCUGUGUAAAGAUGUUCUGUUUUUAUCAAUCUAGCACAUUGUAAUAACUGACACGAGUGCAAGGGAAAGAGAUGUUCCGUUUUUACCAAUCUAGCACAUUGUAAUGCCGUGUAGAGUUUUCUGCAAUGUAAUAAAACUAUAACACUUGAGGAAUUUUCAUUUUCACAAGAUAUGUUCUGCUCUAUGAGUAUGCAGAAAAGUGUGUUUGUGCUCAUCCAUUUCAAGGUGGUAAUUGCAUCGUCUCAUUCAUACUUAAAAGUGCUAUUGGUAUGCAAAUAUAGUGUUAACAAGUUGUUUCCAUUCAAAACCCAUCUAAUCCAUACAAUGCGCUUUUUACAUGAAAUUUAUCCAAACCAAGUAAACAUUAUUACAAAUGUGAGAACCUAAUACAAACACAAUAAUUUUCGCUUUUCCUUUUUCAAAUUACUCUCUCUCUCU